GGAAAACUUACCAGGUCUAGACUUAGUGAGGAUUGACAGAUUGAGAGUUCUUUCCUGAUUCUAUGGGUGGUGUGGCAUUUCCGUUCUUAGUUGGUGGAGUGAUUUUUUCUGGUUAAUUCCGUUAACGAACGGGACUGCCGCCUGCUAAAUAGUUCUACUGAUGAUUUUUCAUUGGUAAGAGCUUCUUAGAGGGACGUUGAUUCUACAAGAUGAAGGAAGAUGGCGGCAAUAA
rnacentral:rRNA from 1 species